rnacentral:rRNA from 1 species
ACCCCAGAUCAGGCGGGGCUACCCGCUGAGUAA